rnacentral:rRNA from 2 species
GACGAACCGUGCGAACGUUGUUCGGAAUCACUGGGCUUAAAGGGCGCGUAGGCGGGCCCACAAGUCCGGGGUGAAAUCUUUCGGCUUAACCGGAAAAGUGCCUUGGAUACUGGGGGCCUUGAGGGAGGCAGGGGCGGAUGGAACUUCCGGUGGAGCGGUGAAAUGCGUUGAUAUCGGAAGGAACGCCGGUGGCGAAAGCGAUCCGCUGGACCUCUUCUGACGCUGAGGCGCGAAAGCCAGGGGAGCAAACGGG